rnacentral:rRNA from 2 species
UGAAAAGAACUUUGGAGAGAGAGUUAAAAGCACGUGAAGCCGUUGAAAGGGAAACGCGCUCGGCUAGCAAUGCGCCAUGACGGUUCAGCCGUUUUGUGUGGCAUCUCGGCUGCUGUCGGAUCCGAAUGGACCGCUGUGGUUGUGCUUGCUGCACGAAAUGUGGUGCACUCUGUCAUGGUGCGCGUCAGCGUCGGUUUGUGGCGGGCGACAAGGCUCGGCGGAAGGUAGCUCGGGGCUUGCUCCGAGUGUUAAGCCGCCGAUGCUGGGUUCGCCGCAGACCGAGGAGAGAGAGUAUCGUCGCAGCGCAUGCCGCAAGGCUAGCUGCCCGCGGUCAGGUUUGCGUCACGGGCUGAGGACUGCACGCAGUGCUUGGCUCGGCGGUGUGACUUGGCUGUGGAGCAGUAUAAAUGCGCUCAGGACGCUGGCGUCCAAAUGGCCGUGCGCGACCCGUCUUGAAACACGG